rnacentral:lncRNA from 1 species
CCAGGAUCCCAUGUGGGAAGGUCAGGAUUUCUCGUGGGAACAUCGGGAUUCCAUGUGGGAACGUCCAAAUUCCACGUGGGACUGUCCAAAUUCCACGUGGGAAUUCCAGGAUCCCAUGUGGGAACGUCAGGAUUUCACGUGGGAACAUCGGGAUUCCACGUGGGAAGGCUAGGAUGUUGUAGGAACACCAGGAUUCCACGUGGGAAUGUCAGGGUUCCGCAUGGGAACAUCGGGAUUCCGUGUGGGAACGUCAGGAUUCCGUGUGGGAACAUCAGAAUCCUGUAGGAACACCAGGAUUCCACGUGGGAAGGUCAGGGUUCCGCAUGGGAACAUCGGGAUUCCGUGUGGGAACGUCAGGAUUCCACAUGGGAACGUCGGCAUCCUGUAGGAACACCAGGAUUCCACGUGGGAAGGUCAGGAUUCCAUGUGGGAACAUCGGGAUCCUGUAGGAACACCAGGAUUCCACGUGGGAACACCAGGAUUCCACGUGGGAACGUCCAAAUUCCACGUGGGACUGUCCAAAUUCCAUGUGGGAAUGUCAGGAUUCCACGUGGGAACAUCGGGAUUCCGUGUGGAAAGGUCAGGAUUCCGUGUGGGAACGUCGGGAUCCUGUAGGAACACCAGGAUUCCACAUGGGAACACCAGGAUUCCACGUGGGACUGUCCAAAUUCCACGUGGGAACGUCAGGAUUCCGUGUGGGACUGUCCAAAUUCCACAUGGGAAUGUCGGGGUCCCGGUGGGAACGCCGGGAUCCCUUUGGACCGUGCGCUCUCUCUCUCUCUCUCCACGCUCAGAUCAGAUCUCUCUCGAUAAACCACGGCUCCAACGCCUGCUCCGGUUUUUGGGGAGCGACGGAACCGGGAUCCGGGAAUGGGGAUCUGGGCAUGGGAAUUGGGAUCCAGGAAUGGGAAUGGGGAUCCGGGAAUGGGAAUGGGGAUCUGGACAUGGGAGUUGGGAUCUGGGCAUGGGAAUUGGGAUCUGGGGAUGGGAAUUGGGAUCCAGGAAUGGGAAUUGGAAUCUGGGCAUGGGAGUUGGAAUCCAGAGCUGGGAGUUGGGAUCUGGAACUUGGAAUUGGGAUCUGGAGCUGGGAAUUGGGAUCCAGGCCCAAGAAUUGGGAUCUGGGCCCAGGAGUUGGGAUCUGGGCACGGGAAUUGGGGAUCCAGGCAUGGGAACUGGGAUCAGGGCCAGGAACUGGGAUCCAGGGCUGGGAGUUUGGAUCCAGCCCCUGGAAUUGGGAUCCAGGCACAGGAGUUGGGAUCUGGGCACGGGAAUUGGGAUCUGGGGAUGGGAAUUGGGAUCUGGACAUGGGAAUGGGGAUCCAGGUGUUGGGAUCAAGAGUUGGGAAUUGGGAUCCGGGCACGGGAAUGGGGAUCUGGGUGAGAAAUUGGGUCCAGGGCUGGGAAUUGGGAUCUGGGCAUGGGAGUUGGGAUCCCGGGCUGGGAAUUGGGAUCCAGGGCUGGGAGUUGGAAUCUGGGCACGGGAGUUGGGAUCCAGCCCCGGGAUUUGGGAUCCAGCCCCAGGAUUGGGAUCCAGCCCCAGAAUUGGGAUCCGGCCCCAGGAUUUGGGAUCCAGCCCCGGAAUUGGGAUCUGGCCCCAGGAUUUGGGAUCCAGCCCCGGAUUUUGGAUCCAGUCCCGGGAUUUGGGAAUUCAGCCCAGUGUCCCCAACCCUNGGGAAUUUUGGGAAUUUUUGGGAUAUUUGGGAAUUGGAGACUCGGCUAUCCCAUGGGAAAUUUGGGAAUUUUGGGGUUUUUGGGAACGGGAGGACUCGGGUAUUCCAUGGCAAAUUUGGGAAUUUGGGGAAUUUUUGGGGUUUUUGGGAAUGGGGGACUCUGGUAUUCCAUGGGAAGUUUGGGAAUUUUGGGAUAUUUGGCAUUUGGGAAUGAGGGACUCUGGUAUUCCAUGGGAAUUUUGGAGUUUUUGGGAAUUUUGGUAUUUUUGGGAAUGGGGGACUCGGGUAUCCCAUGGGAAAUUCAGGAAAUUCGGGAAUUUUGGGGUUUUUGAGAAUGGGGGACUCGGGUGUUCCGUGGGAAAUUUGGGAAUUUUUGGGGUUUUGGGGAUAUUUGGGAUUUGGGUAUGGGGGACUCCGGUAUCCCAUGGGAAUUUUGGGAAUUCUGGGGUUUUGGGGAUAUUUGGAAUUCCAGAAUCCCAAUGGCAAUUUUGGGGUUUUUGGGAUCCCAUGGGAUAUUUUGGAAUGGGAGAUUCCGGCAUUCUAAUGGGAAUUUUGGGAAUUUCAUUAAUUUUGGGAUUUCUAGGAAUGGGAAACUCCGGUAUCCCGAAAGAAUUUUGGGAUUUUAUUUGGGAAUAGGGGACUCCAGUCUCCCAAUGGAAAUUUGGGGAUAUUUGGGAUUUUUAGAAAUGGAAAACUUCGGGAUCCCAAAGGAAUUUGGGGGGUUUUGGGAAUAUUUGGGAAUGGGGGACUCGGGUAUCCCAACAGGGAUUUUGGGAUAUUUGGGGUUUUUUGGGAAUGGGGAACUGCAAUAUCCCAAGGGAUUUUUGGGAUUUGGGAAUUGGGGACUCCACUAUCCAGUGGGAAUUUUGGGGUUUUUGGGAUAUUUGGGAAUGGGACGCUCUGGUAUCCAAUGGGAAUUUUGGGGAUUUUGGGGUUUGGGGGAUUUUGGGAUAUUUGGGAAUAGGGGACUCCGUUAUCCCAGCGGAAAUUUUGGGAUAUUUAGGAUUUUUCAGAAUGGGAAACUCUGGUAUCCCAAAGGAAUUUUGGGAAUUUUGCAGAUUCUAAGGGGUUUUGGAAAUAAGGGCCACUGGGAUUCCAUGGGAAUUUUGGGAUAUUUAAGAAUGGGGGACUCGGGUGUCCCAACAGGAACUUUGGGAUAUUUGGGAUAUUUUGGGAAUGGGGAACUGCGAUAUCCCAAGGGAAUUUNGGAUUGGGAUUGGGAUUGGGAUUGGGAUGGGAUUGGAUUGGGAUGGGAUUGGGAUUGGGAUGGGAUUGGGAUGGGAUUGGGAUUGGGAUGGGAUUGGGAUCGGGAUUGGGAUUGGAUUGGGAUGGGAUUGGGAUUGGAUUGGGAUUGGAUUGGGAUGGGAUUGGGAUGGGAUUGGGAUUGGGAUUGGAUUGGGAUUAGGAUGGGAUUGGGAUUGGAUGGGAUUGGAUUGGGAUGGGAUUGGGAUGGGAUUGGGAUGGGAUUGGGAUUGGGAUGGGAUUGGGAUUGGGAUUGGGAAUGGAGUUUAAAUUGGGAUUGGAUUGGGAUUAGGGCUGGGAUCGGGAUUGGGAUUGAGAUUGGAUUGGGAUUGGGAUUGGGAUGGGAUUGGGAUGGGAUUGGAUUGGAAUUAGGGCUGGGAUCGGGAUUGGGAUU